UAACAGACGGGUCAGGGUUCGUCCAGUAAUAUUUACAGUCUAUGGUUCUAAACAACGAGAUCACUUCCGCUAGUCGCUCAUUUCACAGAAUGGGGCCCCUCGUACUUCUCUUCUCUUUUUCUCUGCUGCAUUUAUGUGCUACACAAGUGACUCCUGUGUUUGUGAAGACAGGAACAGAUUUACUUCUGGAAGUGAAGGAACCUGUUGUUCUGAAGGAGGGAGAGGAUUUUAUAUGGAAGGUCAAUGGCAGUGAUAAUGUUGUGAAAUUUCGUGGUAUUAAACAAUCCAUUCCAGAAAGUUAUAAAUCUAGAGUAGAAUUUUCUGCACAAAAUCACUCUCUACUGUUAAAGAACGUACAAAAGGGGGACAGUGGAGUUCACAGAGCACUUGUUUCUGGUGACGAAGACAUCACUGUAGCUGAAUACAGCGUCACAGUUCUGGAUCCAGUGUCUGGAGUGAAGCUGACAGUGAAACCCUGCAGCUCAGACUCCACUAAGGUCACAGUGAUCUGCAGCACUGAGGACUCUCUCAUCAGCAGCACGUUCACAUGUGACACACAAACCUGCUCUCACGAGGGAGGAGAGCGAGCAGAGAUCAUCACACCUGGUGCUUCUCUGGACGUCUACCUGGAGAACAGCUCAGUCAUCUGUAACCAUAGCAACCAGGUCAGCUCUACAAGGGACAUCCAAAAGAUUGAAGAGUUUUGUGUAAAGCCUGAAGCAUCGAAAGGCAGCCAAAAUAAUGUUACACCGAUUGUUGUAGCCAUCGUCUUAUCUCUUGUUGUUGUUUUGGCUAUAAUUUGAAUUCAUCAUCGAAGGAGAAAACAAAAUAAAGCAGAGAACAUGGAAAAUACCGUCUAUGAAGAUCCUCAGGUCCUGCUGCUUGCUCCUACCAGCCACAUGCUCACAGCUCAUGUCUCUGGUUGUUCUGCUUUCUUGUGCUUCAAUGUAAUGCAAUGAAGCUUUAAAACGAUUGAUUUCCAGAUGAAUGUUGAAUGGCAAUCCAUCUCUUCCACCCUGGUGCUUCAACAGUUUCAUGUCGCAAUGUGUCCAUUAUGACUGCAGCUGUGAAUACAGACCUCCCUCUGCAGCAGAGACCAACAAAUGAUGCCCCAGCUGGUCCUCCACCCUCCAACUACUCCUUGUUGGGGCCUCCCAUCGUCUCUGAAGCACCCACUCAGCCCAGAGACAACGCUCAGCCAGAGAGCCUGUAUGAAAUGGUGGAAAUUAUG